UACGAAGGGGGCUAGCGUUGCUCGGAAUCACUGGGCGUAAAGGGUGCGUAGGCGGGUCUUUAAGUCAGGGGUGAAAUCCUGGAGCUCAACUCCAGAACUGCCUUUGAUACUGAGGAUCUUGAGUCCGGGAGAGGUGAGUGGAACUCCUAGUGUAGAGGUGGAAUUCGUAGAUAUUAGGAAGAACACCAGUGGCGAAGGCGGCUCACUGGUCCGGUACUGACGCUGAGGUGCGAAAGCGUGGGGAGCAAACAGG
rnacentral:rRNA from 1 species